GAUGAACGCUGGCGGCGUGCCUAAUACAUGCAAGUCGAGCGAACAGAUAAGGAGCUUGCUCCUUUGACGUUAGCGGCGGACGGGUGAGUAACACGUGGGUAACCUACCUAUAAGACUGGAAUAACUCCGGGAAACCGGGGCUAAUGCCGGAUAACAUUUAGAACCGCAUGGUUCUAAAGUGAAAGAUGGUUUUGCUAUCACUUAUAGAUGGACCCGCGCCGUAUUAGCUAGCUGGUAAGGUAACGGCUUACCAAGGCAACGAUACGUAGCCGACCUGAGAGGGUGAUCGGCCACACUGGAACUGAGACACGGUCCAGACUCCUACGGGAGGCAGCAGUAGGGAAUCUUCCGCAAUGGGCGAAAGCCUGACGGAGCAACGCCGCGUGAGUGAUGAAGGUCUUCGGAUCGUAAAACUCUGUUAUUAGGGAAGAACAAAUGUGUAAGUAACUGUGCACGUCUUGACGGUACCUAAUCAGAAAGCCGCGGCUAACUACGUG
rnacentral:rRNA from 1 species